CCUACGGGAGGCAGCAGUGAGGAAUAUUGGACAAUGGGCGCAAGCCUGAUCCAGCCAUGCCGCGUGCAGGAUGAAGCAUCUAUGGUGUGUAAACUGCUUUUAUACAGGAAGAAACCUCCCGACGUGUCGGGAAUUGACGGUACUGUAAGAAUAAGGAUCGGCUAACUCCGUGCCAGCAGCCGCGGUAAUACGGAGGAUCCAAGCGUUAUCCGGAAUCAUUGGGUUUAAAGGGUCCGUAGGCGGGCCAGUAAGUCAGUGGUGAAAUCUCUCCGCUCAACGGGGAAAUGGCCAUUGAUACUGCUGGUCUUGAAUUAUUAGGAAGUAACUAGAAUAUGUAGUGUAGCGGUGAAAUGCUUAGAGAUUACAUGGAAUACCAAUUGCGAAGGCAGGUUACUACUAAUGGAUUGACGCUGAUGGACAAAGCGUGGGUAGCGAACAGGAUUAGAUACCCUGGUAGUCCACGCCGUAAACGAUGGAUACUAGNUGUGGGUGACUACUAGUGNGUAGACGAAGUAGAGUAAGUA
rnacentral:rRNA from 1 species